AUGGUUCAGUCGAACGUAAGCAUCGUCAUAUUGUUGAAGCUUUUGGCCCAUGCAUCUGUUCCGUUUCGGUUUUGGAGUGAUGCUUUCACCACUGCAUGCUUUCUCAUCAACCGUACUCCUACUCGUGUUUUAAACAUGAAGACUCCCAUUGAGGUUCUCCUUAAUGAACAACCUGAUUAUACCUUUCUCAAGGUAUUUGGGUGUGCUUGCUGGCCGCAUCUUCGUCCAUAUAACAAGCGCAAGCUUGAGUUUCGUUCUAAGAAGUGUGUUUUUCUUGGCUAUAGCUCUCUUCAUAAAGGUUACAAAUGUCUUCGUGUUCCCACUAAUCGUGUCUAUAUAUCUCGGGACGUCGUGUUUGAUGAGCAUGUUUUUCCCUUUGCCAACCUUCCUGUGUCCACUGUCGAACCACCAUCCCUGCAUUCAUCCUCUGUUGCUUCUGACCAAUUUGAUGAUGUUGCAUACUCUCCUUUGCUGUUACCUAACCAUGGUGCAGGAACCGGACGUGGAGCUCGUUUAGAGCUGUUGGAGGAUUCACCAUCAUCAUCGUCGUCUUCUGGU
rnacentral:rRNA from 1 species